rnacentral:rRNA from 1 species
CGGGGGGGGCGGCCUACCAUGCAAGUCGAACGGUAGCACAGAGAGCUUGCUCUCGGGUGACGAGUGGCGGACGGGUGAGUAAUGUCUGGGAAACUGCCUGAUGGAGGGGGAUAACUACUGGAAACGGUAGCUAAUACCGCAUAACGUCGCAAGACCAAAGAGGGGGACCUUCGGGCCUCUUGCCAUCGGAUGUGCCCAGAUGGGAUUAGCUAGUAGGUGGGGUAAAGGCUCACCUAGGCGACGAUCCCUAGCUGGUCUGAGAGGAUGACCAGCCACACUGGAACUGAGACACGGUCCAGACUCCUACGGGAGGCAGCAGUGGGGAAUAUUGCACAAUGGGCGCAAGCCUGAUGCAGCCAUGCCGCGUGUAUGAAGAAGGCCUUCGGGUUGUAAAGUACUUUCAGCGGGGAGGAAGGGAGUAAAGUUAAUACCUUUGCUCAUUGACGUUACCCGCAGAAGAAGCACCGGCUAACUCCGUGCCAGCAGCCGCGGUAAUACGGAGGGUGCAAGCGUUAAUCGGAAUUACUGGGCGUAAAGCGCACGCAGGCGGUUUGUUAAGUCAGAUGUGAAAUCCCCGGGGCUCAACCUGGGAACUGCAUCUGAUACUGGCAAGCUUGAGUCUUGUAGAGGGGGGUAGAAUUCCAGGUGUAGCGGUGAAAUGCGUAGAGAUCUGGAGGAAUACCGGUGGCGAAGGCGGCCCCCUGGACGAAGACUGACGCUCAGGUGCGAAAGCGUGGGGAGCAAACAGGAUUAGAUACCCUGGUAGUCCACGCCGUAAACGAUGUCGACUUGGAGGUUGUGCCCUUGAGGCGUGGCUUCCGGAGCUAACGCGUUAAGUCGACCGCCUGGGGGAGUACGGCCGCAAGGUUAAAACUCAAAUGAAUUGACGGGGGGGCCCGCACAAGCGGUGGAGCAUGUGGUUUAAUUCGAUGCAACGCGAAGAACCUUACCUGGUCUUGACAUCCACAGAAGUUUUCAGAGAUGAGAAGGUGCCUUCGGGAACUGUGAGACAGGUGCUGCAUGGCUGUCGUCAGCUCGUGUUGUGAAAUGUUGGGUUAAGUCCCGCAACGAGCGCAACCCUUAUCCUUUGUUGCCAGCGGUCCGGCCGGGAACUCAAAGGAGACUGCCAGUGAUAAACUGGAGGAAGGUGGGGAUGACGUCACCUCAUCAUGGCCCUUACGAGUAGGGCUACACACGUGCUACAAUGGCGCAUACAAAGAGAAGCGACCUCGCGAGAGCAAGCGGACCUCAUAAAGUGCGUCGUAGUCCGGAUUGGAGUCUGCAACUCGACUCCAUGAAGUCGGAAUCGCUAGUAAUCGUGGAUCAGAAUGCCACGGUGAAUACGUUCCCGGGCCUUGUACACACCGCCCGUCACACCAUGGGAGUGGGUUGCAAAAGAAGUAGGUAGCUUAACCUUCGGGAGGGCGCUUACCACUUUGUGAUUCAUGACUGGGGGAAGUCGAACAAGUCGCGUGC